rnacentral:rRNA from 1 species
UACGGGGGGGGCAAGCGUUGUUCGGAAUUACUGGGCGUAAAGGGCUCGUAGGUGGCCAACUAAGUCAGACGUGAAAUCCCUCGGCUUAACCGGGGAACUGCGUCUGAUACUGGAUGGCUUGAGGUUGGGAGAGGGGUGCGGAAUUCCAGGUGUAGCGGUGAAAUGCGUAGAUAUCUGGAGGAACACCGGUGGCGAAGGCGGCAUCCUGGACCAAUUCUGACGCUGAGGAGCGAAAGCCAGGGGAGCAAACGGG